GAGAGAGAAGCAGAGGAAGAAAAUGAACAUUGCUGUUUUGUGUUGCUGAAUUGAAUGCUAACCUCUAAACUUGACACUCCACUCACUCAUCCCUUUCAUCAACACAACAAUGGCAUCUUCUUUCGCUUCAACUGCUUCUUCCGCAUCUUCUUCGCUUCCCACUCCCUCAAAACCCAAACCCAAAAUCAAUCAUUUCCGCUUCUCUCACUCCAACCUCUCUUUCCGUCUCUCUCCUAAACCCAAUCUUCCUUUCCUCACCAAGGGAUCCCCACCAUGUCAAAUUGUAUGCCCAAGGGUGAAGGCACAAUUGAAUGAGGUUUCUCUUGAUGGUUCCUCAAAUGCUGUCGCUCCUACAACAGCCAAUUCAGAGGCCGAAGCAACAGCCAAACCUUCAAGUGGAACAUCGUCUGGAGUCUUGGCUUCUCAAGAAUCUAUCUCUCAGUUUAUUACUCAAGUUGCAAGCCUUGUCAAACUUGUUGAUUCAAGAGACAUUGUAGAGUUGCAGUUGAAGCAGCAUGACUGUGAAGUAAUGAUCAGGAAGAGGGAGGCUAUGCCUCAACCACAGCCUCCUGCUCAGCCUGCCAUGUACUAUCCACCCCCGUCACUAGCAGCGCCACCUGUUGCUCCUGCAUCUUCUCCAGCACCUGCCCCAACUCCUGCUACCCGUGCAGCAUCAGCUUCUCCACCUGCUGCAAAGUCAACUAAAUCAUCACUUCCGCCUCUUAAAUGUCCUAUGGCAGGGACAUUUUACCGCAGUCCUGGUCCUGGUGAACCUCCAUUUGUGAAGGUUGGAGACAAAGUAAAGAAGGGCCAAGUAUUGUGCAUCAUCGAGGCGAUGAAAUUGAUGAAUGAAAUAGAAUGCAUGUUGAAGGUUGAGAUCUAAGGUUCUCAAUUUGCUAAGCGGUCUUCAUUCCUCUCUAUCGACUUUAAAAUAUGAUUAAAGUGAUGCCUUUUCCCAUGAAAGAUAUGCUUUUCGGAAAGAAGAUGAUGUCAGCAUAAAUGAGGAAAGGGGGAGCUGAUCAAUCAGGAACUAUAGUCGAAAUCCUUGCAGAAGAUGGCAAGCCUGUUAGUGUUGACAUGCCCCUUUUUGUGAUUGAACCUUAGAGCUUGUGGAGUGUUCAGAGUACAAUCAUUGAAAGAAGAUAUGAAAAUUAAAGUUAUCUGCAAGUCUCGGUAGUUUAAAAUUGUGAGAGGCUUAUCGUCAUCGUCAUCAUCAUCAUCAUGAGAAGUGUAGGAAGAUUUUGGCCUGAAAUAUUGGAAUGGUACAGUUGAGAGGAGAAUUACUCGUCAUAAUGGAUUUAUUCCUUAUAUUUUUUCAUCUCUUGUUGUACCUUACACUGAUUUUUCACUUUUUAAUUUAUUAGACUAUGUUCUAACUAGCUA